rnacentral:rRNA from 1 species
AUUAACCUGUUGAACGCUGGCGGCAGGCCUAACACAUGCAAGUCGAGCGGUAACACAAGGGAGCUUGCUCCUGAGGUGACGAGCGGCGGACGGGUGAGUAAUGCCUAGGGAUCUGCCCAGUCGAGGGGGAUAACAGUUGGAAACGACUGCUAAUACCGCAUACGCCCUACGGGGGAAAGGAGGGGACCUUCGGGCCUUCCGCGAUUGGAUGAACCUAGGUGGGAUUAGCUAGUUGGUGAGGUAAUGGCUCACCAAGGCGACGAUCCCUAGCUGUUCUGAGAGGAUGAUCAGCCACACUGGGACUGAGACACGGCCCAGACUCCUACGGGAGGCAGCAGUGGGGAAUAUUGCACAAUGGGGGAAACCCUGAUGCAGCCAUGCCGCGUGUGUGAAGAAGGCCUUCGGGUUGUAAAGCACUUUCAGUAGGGAGGAAAGGUGAUAGUUUAAUAAACUAUUACUGUGACGUUACCUACAGAAGAAGGACCGGCUAACUCCGUGCCAGCAGCCGCGGUAAUACGGAGGGUCCGAGCGUUAAUCGGAAUUACUGGGCGUAAAGCGUGCGCAGGCGGUUUGUUAAGCCAGAUGUGAAAUCCCCG